CCUACGGGGGGCAGCAGUGGGGGAUAUUGCACAAUGGGGGGAACCCUGAUGCAGCGACGCCGCGUGGGUGAAGAAGCGCCUCGGCGCGUAAAGCCCUUUCAGCAGGGAAGAAAAUGACGGUACCUGAAGAAGAAGCCCCGGCUAACUACGUGCCAGCAGCCGCGGUAAUACGUCGGGGGCAAGCGUUAUCCGGAUUUACUGGGUGUUAAGGGGGCGCAGACGGGGAUGCAAGCCAGGGGUGAAAGCCUGGGGACCAACCCCGGGACUGCUGUUGGAACUGCGUGGCUGGAGUGGAGGAGGGGCAGGCGGAAUGCGUGGUGUAGCGGUGAAAUGCGUAGAUAUCGGGAGGAACACCGGUGGCGAAGGCGGCCUGCUGGACUGCAACUGACGUUGAGGCCCGAAAGCGUGGGGAGCAAACAGGAUUAGAUACCCUUGUAGUC
rnacentral:rRNA from 1 species